UUUAUUUAGGAUUUUGAUUAGGAUUUGAUUUAAGAUUAGGAUUUGGUUAGGGUUUGAUUUAGGAUUUAGGAUUUGGAUUAGAGAUUGAUUUAGGGUUUAGAAUUUAGUUAGGAUUUGAUUUAGGAUUUAAGAUUUGGAUUAGGAUUUGAUUAGGAUUUAUUUAGGAUUUAGAGUUUAAUUAGGAUUUGAUUUAGGAUUUAGUUAGGAUUCUAUUUAGGAUUUAGGGUUUGAUUUAGGAUUAUCAAGGACAAAAACUCAAUGAAAAAAUAAUCCAGACAAGUGAGCCUUCACUCAAAGAAAGGUAACAAAAUA
rnacentral:lncRNA from 1 species